CCUACGGGUGGCUGCAGUGGGGAAUAUUGCACAAUGGGCGCAAGCCUGAUGCAGCCAUGCCGCGUGUGUGACGAAGGCCUUCGGGUUGUAAAGCACUUUCAGCGGGGAGGAAGGCGGUGAGGUUAAUAACCUCAUCGAUUGACGUUACCCGCCGAAGAAGCACCGGCUAACUCCGUGCCAGCAGCCGCGGUAAUACGGAGGGUGCAAGCGUUAAUCGGAAUUACUGGGCGUAAAGCGCACGCAGGCGGUCUGUCAAGUCGGAUGUGAAAUCCCCGGGCUCAACCUGGGAACUGCAUUCGAAACUGGCAGGCUAGAGUCUUGUAGAGGGGGGUAGAAUUCCAGGUGUAGCGGUGAAAUGCGUAGAGAUCUGGAGGAAUACCGGUGGCGAAGGCGGCCCCCUGGACAAAGACUGGCGCUCAGGUGCGAAAGCGUGGGGAGCAAACAGGAUUAGAUACCCGUGUAGUC
rnacentral:rRNA from 1 species